CCUACGGGAGGCAGCAGUGAGGAAUAUUGGUCAAUGGGCGGAAGCCUGAACCAGCCAAGUAGCGUGCAGGAUGACGGCCCUACGGGUUGUAAACUGCUUUUAUACGGGAAUAACGCGCCUUACGUAUAGGACUUUGCAUAUACCGUAUGAAUAAGGACCGGCUAAUUCCGUUCCAGCAGCCGCGGUACUACGGAAGGUCCGGGCGUUAUCCGGAUUUAUUGGGUUUAAAGGGAGCGUAGGCCGCAUGUCAAGCGUGCUGUGAAAGGUCCGGGCUCAACCCGGGCCUUGCAGCGCGAACUGGCGUGCUUGAGUCCGCGGAAAGCAGGCGGAAUUCGUAGUGUAGCGGUGAAAUGCUUAGAUAUGACGAAGAACCCCGAUGGCGAAGGCAGCUUGCUGCAGCGGAACUGACGCUGAUGCUCGAAAGCGUGGGUAUCGAACAGGAUUAGAUACCCCAGUAGUC
rnacentral:rRNA from 1 species